GGAGCGCUCCUCAAGUGGUGGCAGGGAGGCUCGUGGCCCCGCGUCGCUCUGGACAGGGGCGCUUUGGGGUGAGAUGUGCGCUCGCGGCCUUGAUCCAUUUAGUGGACGCUUUUUCUCACUUCUCUUCCCCUUCUGGCUCCGCGGGAGACUGCGCUCGCACCCGGCCCCGGAGCGCUCGAGCUGCGCGCUGGGACACUGGGUAUACGUGUGGAGGGGACACCCGGAGAGGGCGGCCCGUGCGGGAUCCCCGCGCUCUCCACCUGCGAGGGGCGGGCCGGAGCUGGGUCCCGCGCGCGGUUUCCCGAGCGGGUGGCUGGGCAAGAAGGGAGCCCUUCGUUGGGGCAGCUGUGAUCCGGUAGAGUUGACUGGUUGGGUGGGAGGGGACGGAGCGGGCGGGACUUGAGAAAAGCAAAGUACCAGAGUGCGGUUGAGGGGUAGCGGGCAGCGCGCGGGAAACGACUCCCCUUUUCUUCUCCACCGUUGACCUUUAGGUUCCUGGAAAACUUUGGUGGUGAGGGUGUGAAAUGAGGGGGUGCACGUGGAGGGAAAAAAGGGACUCCCCUCCCUCUUGGCUUCUAUCCCACCAACCCGGGAAUGGAGGGGGAGGGAGGCGUGGGCUUGGCGCGUUUUUGGUGCUUUGAAUGGAGAACUCCGUUUCCCAUGAUGCUUUGUUUCUUUCUCUUUAAUUUCGGCGGCGGCUGAGGCUGCACGAGGACUGGAGCGCGUGGUGUGAGCAGCUGGAGCACACCCUGGACGCGCGGGCUGCUCGCGGACUUCAACGGGAGCAUUAGGGGAUUGGAGAGUGACUGCCCAGCGUGCGCGAGGGAUGCCAGAUGAACCGCUAAUUAGCAAAAGGUGAGUCUGCAUGGAUCUGUGAGGACGGAAAAGAAGAGCUCCUGGAAGACUUAAAAUUUUGCUACAGGAAUAGGCCUUGGCCAUGUAAAAGUGCUUACAGUGCAGGUAGCUUUUUGAGAUCUACUGCAAUGUAAGCACUUCUUACAUUACCAUGGUGAUUUAGUCAAUGGCUACUGAGAACUGUAGUUUGUGCAUAAUUAAGUAGUUGAUGCUUUUGAGCUGCUUCUUAUAAUGUGUCUCUUGUGUUAAGGUGCAUCUAGUGCAGUUAGUGAAGCAGCUUAGAAUCUACUGCCCUAAAUGCCCCUUCUGGCACAGGCUGCCUAAUAUACAGCAUUUUAAAAGUAUGCCUUGAGUAGUAAUUUGAAUAGGACACAUUUCAGUGGUUUGUUUUUUGCCUUUUUAUUGUUUGUUGGGAACAGAUGGUGGGGACUGUGCAGUGUACAGUUGUGUACAGAGGAUAAGAUUGGGUCCUAGUAGUACCAAAGUGCUCAUAGUGCAGGUAGUUUUGGCAUGACUCUACUGUAGUAUGGGCACUUCCAGUACUCUUGGAUAACAAAUCUCUUGUUGAUGGAGAGAAUAUUCAAAGACAUUGCUACUUACAAUUAGUUUUGCAGGUUUGCAUUUCAGCGUAUAUAUGUAUAUGUGGCUGUGCAAAUCCAUGCAAAACUGAUUGUGAUAAUGUGUGCUUCCUACGUCUGUGUGAACACACCUUCAUGCGUAUCUCCAGCACUCAUGCCCAUUCAUCCCUGGGUGGGGAUUUGUUGCAUUACUUGUGUUCUAUAUAAAGUAUUGCACUUGUCCCGGCCUGUGGAAGAAAGGAGGAUUUUUAUCGUCUUCUUAUUUUAACUUUUAAAAGCCGUAAGUUCUGAUAUUUAGUCAUUGUAAAAUGAUCUGUUUUGCUGUUGUCGGGUGGAUCACGAUGCAAUUUUGAUGAGUAUCAUAGGAGAAAAAUUGCACGGUAUCCAUCUGUAAACCGCAGGACCUUUGUUGGCGACAUUCCUGAUCAGCGCUACAGUAAGCUAGAUGGUAAAAAAUCCUUUCUCUAGUUGCUGCUAUUAAAAAAUAAUUUGAAAUAUAUUUGGAUUUCUAAAAACUAUGAUAGCUAAUUUAUAAAGUAUGUGUUUUGGAACUUUGGUGAAUGAUCAGAUUGUUACUGAAUGUGAAUGAACCUCAAAAUAAAUGAAAUUUAUAGAUCUGAAAAAA
ensembl:lncRNA MIR106AHG miR-106a-363 cluster host gene